rnacentral:rRNA from 1 species
UGUGCCAGCAGCCGCGGUAAUACAGAGGGUGCAAGCGUUAAUCGGAAUUACUGGGCGUAAAGCGAGCGUAGGUGGCUUGAUAAGUCAGAUGUGAAAGCCCCGGGCUUAACCUGGGAACGGCAUCUGAUACUGUUAGGCUAGAGUAGGUGAGAGGAAGGUAGAAUUCCAGGUGUAGCGGUGAAAUGCGUAGAGAUCUGGAGGAAUACCGAUGGCGAAGGCAGCCUUCUGGCAUCAUACUGACACUGAGGUUCGAAAGCGUGGGUAGCAAACAGGAUUAGAUACCCUGGUAGUCCACGCCGUAAACGAUGUCUACUAGUCGUUGGGUCCCUUGAGGACUUAGUGACGCAGCUAACGCAAUAAGUAGACCGCCUGGGGAGUACGGCCGCAAGGUUAAAACUCAAAUGAAUUGACGGGGGCCCGCACAAGCGGUGGAGCAUGUGGUUUAAUUCGAUGCAACGCGAAGAACCUUACCUGGUCUUGACAUAUCUAGAAUCCUGCAGAGAUGCGGGAGUGCCUUCGGGAAUUAGAAUACAGGUGCUGCAUGGCUGUCGUCAGCUCGUGUCGUGAGAUGUUGGGUUAAGUCCCGCAACGAGCGCAACCCUUGUCCUUAGUUACCAGCGGUUUGGCCGGGAACUCUAAGGAUACUGCCAGUGACAAACUGGAGGAAGGCGGGGACGACGUCAAGUCAUCAUGGCCCUUACGACCAGGGCUACACACGUGCUACAAUGGUAGGUACAGAGGGCAGCUACACAGCGAUGUGAUGCGAAUCUCAAAAAGCCUAUCGUAGUCCAGAUUGGAGUCUGCAACUCGACUCCAUGAAGUAGGAAUCGCUAGUAAUCGCGGAUCAGAAUGCCGCGGUGAAUACGUUCCCGGGCCUUGUACACACCGCCCGUCACACCAUGGGAGUUGAUUGCACCAGAAGUGGUUAGCCUAACCUUUUAGGAAGGCGAUCACCACGGUGUGGUUGAUGACUGGGGUGAAGUCGUAACAA